rnacentral:rRNA from 1 species
AACGAACGCUGGCGGCAGGCUUAACACAUGCAAGUCGAACGGCAGCACGGACUUCGGUCUGGUGGCGAGUGGCGAACGGGUGAGUAAUACAUCGGAACGUGCCCAGUCGUGGGGGAUAACGUAGCGAAAGCUACGCUAAUACCGCAUACGAUCUAAGGAUGAAAGCGGGGGACCGUAAGGCCUCGCGCGAUUGGAGCGGCCGAUGGCAGAUUAGGUAGUUGGUGGGGUGAAGGCUCACCAAGCCGACGAUCUGUAGCUGGUCUGAGAGGACGACCAGCCACACUGGGACUGAGACACGGCCCAGACUCCUACGGGAGGCAGCAGUGGGGAAUUUUGGACAAUGGGCGCAAGCCUGAUCCAGCCAUUCCGCGUGCAGGAUGAAGGCCCUCGGGUUGUAAACUGCUUUUGUACGGAACGAAAAGGCUCUGGUUAAUACCUGGGGCUCAUGACGGUACCAUAAGAAUAAGCACCGGCUAACUACGUGCCAGCCGCCGCGGUAA